GACGAACGCUGGCGGCGCGCCUAACACAUGCAAGUCGAACGGAGCUUAGAGAGCUUGCUUUUUAAGCUUAGUGGCGAACGGGUGAGUAACGCGUGAGUAACCUGCCCUAGAGUGGGGGACAACAGUUGGAAACGACUGCUAAUACCGCAUAAGCCCACGGUACCGCAUGGCACUGAGGGAAAAGGAUUUAUUCGCUUUAGGAUGGACUCGCGUCCAAUUAGCUAGUUGGUGAGGUAAUGGCCCACCAAGGCGACGAUUGGUAGCCGGACUGAGAGGUUGAACGGCCACAUUGGGACUGAGACACGGCCCAGACUCCUACGGGAGGCAGCAGUGGGGGAUAUUGCACAAUGGGGGAAACCCUGAUGCAGCGACGCCGCGUGGAGGAAGAAGGUUUUCGGAUUGUAAACUCCUGUCGUUAGGGACGAUAAUGACGCU
rnacentral:rRNA from 1 species